GAUGAACGCUAGCGGCAGGCUUAAUACAUGCAAGUCGUGGGGCAGCAUGAGUAGCAAUACUUGAUGGCGACCGGCAAACGGGUGAGGAACACGUACACAACCUUCCUUCAAGCGGGGAAUAGCCCAGAGAAAUUUGGAUUAAUACCCCAUAAAUAUAUUUGAUAAGGCAUCUUAUUAAAUAUUAAAGCUUCGGUACUUGAUGAUGGGUGUGCGGCUGAUUAGAUAGUUGGCGGGGUAACGGCCCACCAAGUCUACGAUCAGUAGCUGAUGUGAGAGCAUGAUCAGCCACACGGGCACUGAGACACGGGCCCGACUCCUACGGGAGGCAGCAGUAAGGAAUAUUGGACAAUGGACGAAAGUCUGAUCCAGCCAUGCCGCGUGAAGGAUUAAGGUCCUCUGGAUUGG
rnacentral:rRNA from 1 species